rnacentral:rRNA from 1 species
CAGUCGCCGCGGGAAUACGAUGGGGGCAAGCGUUGUUCGGAAUUAUUGGGCGUAAAGGGCGCGUAGGCGGUUUGGCAAGUUUGGUGUGAAAUCUUCGGGCUCAACUCGAAGUCUGCACCGAAAACUGCCGGGCUUGAGUAUGGGAGAGGUGAGUGGAAUUUCCGGUGUGGCGGUGAAAUGCGUAGAUAUCGGAAGGAACACCUGUGGCGAAAGCGGCUCACUGGACCAUUUCUGACGCUGAUGCACGAAAGCUAGGGGAGCAAACAGGAUUAGAGACCCCCGUAGUCCCUGUCUCUUAUAA